rnacentral:rRNA from 1 species
UCGAACGCGUCUUGGUUAUUGAUGUUAGAUGCUUGCAUUUAACUGAUUUAACAUUGAGACGAGUGGCGAACUGGUGAGUAACACGUGGGUAACCUGCCCUUGAAGUAGGGGAUAACACUUGGAAACAGGUGCUAAUACCGUAUAACAACCAAAACCACCUGGUUUUGGUUUAAAAGAUGGCUUCGGCUAUCACUUUAGGAUGGACCCGCGGCGUAUUAGCUUGUUGGUAAGGUAACGGCCUACCAAGGCAAUGAUACGUAGCCGACCUGAGAGGGUAAUCGGCCACAUUGGGACUGAGACACGGCCCAAACUCCUACGGGAGGCAGCAGUAGGGAAUCUUCCACAAUGGACGAAAGUCUGAUGGAGCAACGCCGCGUGAGUGAUGAAGGGUUUCGGCUCGUAAAACUCUGUUGUUGGAGAAGAACAGGUGUGAGAGUAACUGUUCACAUCUUGACGGUAUCCAACCAGAAAGCCACGGCUAACUACGUGCCAGCAGCCGCGGUAAUACGUAGGUGGCAAGCGUUGUCCGGAUUUAUUGGGCGUAAAGCGAGCGCAGGCGGUUUCUUAGGUCUGAUGUGAAAGCCUUCGGCUUAACCGGAGAAGUGCAUCGGAAACCAGGAGACUUGAGUGCAGAAGAGGACAGUGGAACUCCAUGUGUAGCGGUGAAAUGCGUAGAUAUAUGGAAGAACACCAGUGGCGAAGGCGGCUGUCUGGUCUGUAACUGACGCUGAGGCUCGAAAGCAUGGGUAGCGAACAGGAUUAGAUACCCUGGUAGUCCAUGCCGUAAACGAUGAGUGCUAAGUGUUGGAGGGUUUCCGCCCUUCAGUGCUGCAGCUAACGCAUUAAGCACUCCGCCUGGGGAGUACGACCGCAAGGUUGACACUCAAAGGAAUUGACGGGGG